rnacentral:tRNA from 1 species
AAAAAGAUAAGCUAAAUAAGCUUAUGGGUUCAUACCCCGUCAAUGUAAUCUUUCUUCGAUUUCUCUUUUUA